UAAGAAUGUUCACUAUGAGACAAAGCCUAUAAAUUUUAGAUAAACAUGAUACAAGUAUACUAAACAUAAUUAAGGUGUGAAAAAUUCGAUAAAUAUAUUCUUAUCUUUCUUUGUUUUCACAAUAAGUGCGUAAAAAUAAUUUUUAUGUGCAAAUUGACAUUCUUGGAUUUGAUUAUUAUUUCACUUGACUUUACAUUACUAAAUCGAUAAAUUUCGAGUUAGACUAACUCUAUUCCUUGAGAAAUAAUAAUUGGAAAUUCUAAUAAUUAAUUUAAUCGCUAAAUAAUAUAAGAAUUACUAGGAAUCUCAAUAUUCAAGUUUAAUCGAUAAUUAUUCGAUAAAAAUGGUUUAGGUGUAUUAGGGUAUAAUUAGGCGUUUAAAUCACGCUUGGGGAUAAUUUUUAGAAUUAAGUUGGAUUUGAGAAAUUAAGUUGAGGUUGGGGAGCAAAGUGAAAAGACUAAAAUGCCCUUACAUUUCCAUGCAAACCAAACGAAACCUCUGACAACAAUUUAAUCACCACAACUAUCGGCCAAUCACAUUUUAUCCAAUUCGAUACGCAACCUCUGCUCCAAAACCGUAAACCAUUCUUUCUUCCUUCUCCAAAACCGCGGCACCAUAUUUUCUACUUCAUUUCUAAAUCACAAACCACUACCGCAACUCCAUAUCCUCUGCAACCAUUCAUCUCAGACCACACUUCAUCCUUCACCUCGUAAACAUCGACCGGAAGUGAAUGUGUGAGAGCUUCCAUUUCCUUUCGGACCAGAGGCUGGAACCAGAAAGGAAUCGCGAGCUGCAAUCUUUCCUGUUUCUGUCCGUGAGCUCGAGGGAAGAGAGGGAGAGGCCGUGCGUGAGUUUCCUCUGCAUUUUCUAAACCUCACCCAGCUGCUAAUCAUCACCAUUUCCAUCAAUUCCAGCCGCAACUACUGCAACCUCUGCAACCAAGAACAUCACAUCCAGUCACGUGUGAAUCAAGAGGGGAGAAACUUCAGCUUUCUGCCGUGCGUAUAACCUUCAUUGUUAGGACUGGGCUCGGUCGGGUAGGUUGGAACCCUGGACAACCGUUUCGGUAUACUCGAGUAUUACCACUGGAGGGAUAAGGUGAUGGCCAGUCAACCGUGGGGAUCCGGGAGUUAUAAGGUGCAGAUGACCGACAAAGUUCCACUGGAACACCGUAUCCUUUCGUGCUUGCUUUACUAUUAAUAAUAUUAUUGCUCUCCUAGUUGGCAUUCUCGGGUAAGACUCCUCAUGAGCAUUAACCUCUGAGAUGAAGCAAUCCUUGUAAUGUUCUUCUAGUCGGACGAGCCACUAUUUGUUUGACUGAAAAUUUAUGAAAAUGUAUUUAUAUGGCCAUUCAUUCCAAAAGUACUAGUUCUACAUGUGUUUUGAAGGUAGCAAUUACCCAUGUAAUGAUUAUCACCUCAUGGUAACAUGCCAUUGUGUAACCCCGAAUCAUGCAUAUGAUGUGCACAACUUACCUGACCUAUUUGAACUGUUAGAGCGUCUUGGAACCUCACUGGGCUGUGUAGCUCAUCCCACGUUGUGGUUUUCUUUUACAGGUUCUGACAACUGAGGAAGACUUGAGAUCUACUUGUACUUUAAGCAUGUAGUUUGAAUUAAACAAUGUAGCUUUGGUUUCGGGUUGCCACUUGAAGUUGGAAAAGUGUAAACCCUGGAUUUGUAUGUGGCUUGUAUGAAUUUGUUACUUGGCUUGUAAGGAUGUAUUUGAAUUGUUUUUUUUUUGUUUCUUGGGUUGUAUUCGGGAAGAUAUUUUAAGAAUCGACAUUGGCUAUCUUAAGGAACCGUUAUCUCUGAAGUUAAUGUGAUUCUAGAAACCGGCCUAUUUGGAGGGAAACGAUGUUGUAAUAGAUUAGGUUAUACUUCGGAAGGAUUUUUGCUAG